AUUGAACGCUGGCGGCAGGCCUAACACAUGCAAGUCGAGCGAGCCGCGGACUGGUGAAUAGUGUAUGGGUCCUGCCCGAUAGAGGGGGAUCACUACUAGAAACGUUGGCUAAUACCGCAUACUAUCGGAUAACCCAUAUGGGAUUAGCUAGUAGGUGGGGUAAAGGCUCACCUAGGCGACGAUCUCUAGCUGGUCUGAGAGGAUGAUCAGCCACACUGGGACUGAGACACGGCCCAGACUCCUACGGAGGCAGCAGUGGGGAAUAUUGCACAAUGGGCGCAAGCCUGAUGCAGCCAUGCCGCGUGUAUGAAGAAGGCCUUAGGGUUGUAAAGUACUUUCAGCGGGGAGGCGUUACCCAAAGAAGAAGCACCGGCUAACUCCGUGCCAGCAGCCGCGGUAAUAC
rnacentral:rRNA from 1 species